AUCAAUUUAGUUUAAUUAAAAAUAUAGGUUUGUGGUACCUUAGAUGAUUUAAUUCAUUUGAUU
rnacentral:tRNA from 1 species